rnacentral:rRNA from 1 species
GUAGGGUGCAAGCGUUAAUCGGAAUUACUGGGCGUAAAGCGUGCGUAGGUGGUUUGUUAAGUCUGAUGUGAAAGCCCUGGGCUCAACCUGGGAAUUGCAUUGGAUACUGGCAAGCUAGAGUGCGGUAGAGGAUGGCGGAAUUCCCGGUGUAGCAGUGAAAUGCGUAGAGAUCGGGAGGAACAUCUGUGGCGAAGGCGGCCAUCUGGACCAGCACUGACACUGAGGCACGAAAGCGUGGGGAGCAAACAGGAUUAGAUACCCUGGUAGUCCACGCCCUAAACGAUGCGAACUGGAUGUUGGGAGCAAUUAGGCUCUCAGUAUCGAAGCUAACGCGUUAAGUUCGCCGCCUGGGGAGUACGGUCGCAAGAUUA